rnacentral:rRNA from 1 species
GACGAACGCUGGCGGCGUGCCUAAUACAUGCAAGUCGAGCGGAGUUUUUAAAAGCUUGCUUUUAAAAACUCAGCGGCGGACGGGUGAGUAACACGUGGGCAACCUGCCCUGUAGACUGGGAUAACUUCGGGAAACCGAAGCUAAUACCGGAUAAUCAUAGAAGUUGCAUAGCUUCUAUGUAAAAGUUGGGUUUACCUAACACUACAGGAUGGGCCCGCGUCGCAUUAGCUAGUUGGUAAGGUAACGGCUUACCAAGGCGACGAUGCGUAGCCGACCUGAGAGGGUGAUCGGCCACACUGGGACUGAGACACGGCCCAGACUCCUACGGGAGGCAGCAGUAGGGAAUCUUCCGCAAUGGACGAAAGUCUGACGGAGCAACGCCGCGUGAGCGAUGAAGGCCUUCGGGUCGUAAAGCUCUGUUGUUAGGGAAGAAACAAGUACCCAUCAAAUAAGGGUGGACCUU